CACUUCGUGGCAAAUAAAAAUCAAAUAUAAUCAUUGACAACUUUGAAAUAUGAUUGUGCAAUCGAUAAGUUGUUUGCUGUCAAUUGAGAUCAUGAUUAUCCUGCGACAGGUAAGGCUGGAUAUCAACAGGUCUUUGAGGAAUUUCAGUGAAUCAUAUAUAUAGAAUCUCAAAAUUCCUCUUGAUGAAACAGUAAAUAAAUUGUGUUAAGCAAAAGGAGCAGAGUAGUGGUUCAACGAUGCUCAAAUCAAGGUCCAUUAAAUGAUACGUACUGUAAAAUGACCGUAUAAAAUGGAGGAAAGAGAUUCUUCAGUGGUAAUUGUAUAAUCAGUUUACGUUUAAUAUUAUUCAUUCCUUCUCUUGUUGACUAUUUCAUAUUGAUUUCACUUCUAUCCACUUUCUAACAUAAAAACACAAUAUUUCCUUUCUAAUUUCGCAGAAUCAAUAAUAACGUUACGUGUAAAGGAAAUUUUCAUUUCUAAAAAAUUUUUUAUCCUCAACCUGGAAUCGAUAUCGAAAUCAAUCACGUCAAUUUCGAUCGCGCAUACUUUCAGUGAAAUUUCCGUUGAUCAGGUUUCGUUUCGGGGUUUCCCCGACUCACGGUAUCUUCUGCUCGUCGUAAAUAUAGACGGUACGACAUUAGAUAAUCGUCGGAGUUUGUAUAGGCUCGUGCAUCGGCACGGGUCGUGACUUUUCUUUCUUUUAUAGGGUUCAUCGUGAGGCGCGACGAUAUUGUAUAAUCGAUUGUGCACGAAGCGGAGGAGGAUCCUCUUUCGAUUAGAGGGCAAAAACUUGGGACUGUUAGUAAAGGAUUUAACGUAACAGCAAUAAAGAUUCUUCGAGAUUCCAGAAAGGGAUACAACUCACGUUUUACCACGAAGAAAGUACCUAGAUAGUAUUGGAGCAAAGUCAAUUCCAUUAGAUCCGAUGUUGACUUGAACCCAUCACUGAUAUCUAUUCUAACGAUCUCGCGGUUCGUGCAACAGAUGUUACGUUCUCUUAUGUAAAUAUUUUUAACAAGCUGAUUGUCGCGAUGCGUAUCAGCAUUGAGCUAUGACCACCGAACUUGUCGUCUUCCUACUUCGUUUAGACUAGUGGCUAGAUAAAUAGCCGUCGGAUUAGAAAGAAAGUUUCCGUCCAUGUCAGCAUCUGCUGUAUCGGAUAACUUACUUUCGUUUGAAGACGAGGCGAUAUCUUCUUCACAGGUUAGAAUAUACGACCUAUUCUGAUCCACCGAUACUUAAGCAUCAAACAAACUACUGUUCUUUUCUCAAAUCCAUCGUGAGUUUCUAAAAUUUGUAUUAGGCCCUAAAGCUUAGGAAUGGAUCUAAUCAUGACCUACGGUUUAUGUCACAGAAAAUCAUGAAAAAGAGAUCGAAUUCUGAUAAACUCCAUGUUUUUUACAUGGUUCAGUCUUUAGCAUUCUGUAACCCUUUUCAGAAAAAUCAUUCCUGCUUUUGUCUUUCAUAAUGGAACAAGUAAAGUCGCGAGACGGCGUACGCCGACGCCAUUGUUAUUUAAAAUGGCGAAGACACAAAGGUGUUAAAAUGGCAGAGAUACAAAUAUGGAAGCACAGAAUGCAGUGUCUGCACGUUAUUUUUAAGCAGUCUUUGUUCAAAGGCAACGUGUUCAAUGGAAACUCGAAAGAAAAAUUCUCGUGGCUUUGCUAUUCAGAAAUUCGCCUUCAGAAAAGAAGCAAACGUGCCUUUAGAAAUUCCGUCCUAAAAAGUUUUUAGAUUCUAAUUUAUCAACUUCUGUUUUUCAGGGAUGAAUCCAGAAGAUCAAUGGGCGAAAAUGUUUCAGUAACAGCUCUGCUAUUAAGUAUUUAAGAGCUUAACAGAAGCACUGUGUUUCUUUAAAUAUUACACAAGAGAAAGCUACAUCAUCUACCUUUUAAGUGAAUCAAUAAAAGAUAACGCUUCGACACAAGCGGCUUAUACGCAAGCCUGAAUUAAGAAUUCAGUUUCAAAAAACCACGUGCGUGAUCUUCGUCUCGGUUCCCAGAAAAUUUCACUCUCUCUCGAAACCAUCAAUCCAUCUUCAGGUAGUAACGAACCUUCGACGUUAACAAGGUCGUAAAGAAAGGGUUAAACACGGUCCCUUUGUGUCUGAAGUCUCUUAUAACAUCGAAUACGCCUAUCGUUCGUUUAACAAGCUAAUCCUAUUGAAAGCAAUAAAGUGUCAAAGGAAUAAAAGGAAACUUUUCAAGCGAAGAAUUUCGCAAUAAUUCGAGAUGGACCGACGCGAUCUCGACGUACUCAUCUUCUUAGUCGCCGUUGUCGUUCUCGUCGUCGUUGCCGCCGGUUAAAGGCGCUUCUUGCGUAAUAAAAGCUGCUGAACACGAUGGCACGGAUCGGUUAAAUGCCACCACGUUGUCGGCAGAUGAACCGGCACCGACAUAAACGAAUAAUUCGCGUAACCACGUAACCUACACCUUUAUCCGUUAACUACAAAAUCAUCGUUUACAGGUGAAUCGGAGGUUGAGGUUGUACGGACUGAUUCGGUGAUGAUAGACUACCUACGGUCCUCUGAAAUUUCGAAGAUUAAUAUCCGACGCUCGGAGGAUGAUUUCAAAAAUUGAUGGACAAUGAUGUAACUUGUUUAAGCGUCGUUAACGUCAACUUUCGCGAGUAAAUUAAUGUGCGGUAAGAAUUCAGGCUCGGAGGAUGCUUGAAAAAAUGUCAAAGAUGAUUCAAGCCACGAUUCAAACCAUGAAUUCUAAAACAGAGCGCAAGUUCAUUUCUUUUUUUAGAAGUAGAAUAUGGAUAGAUUCGAAGCGAAGGAAUUGGAGGCGGAUCUGAAAGACUUCUUCAAAAUUUUACCCACGUUCAAUUAACACCGAAACGCAUCGCCUUUGUAACCGGCUGCUUAAUACGCUUUCUCUCUUUAGACCUUCUUCCAGUUAUUCUAUUAUGUAAUUCGCCGCAGGAUUCAAAUGCCAACGGGUAUUACCUUAUUUCGUUUCAUUGAAGUCCCUUCAAUGAUCUUUCUACUCCUCUUUUUCUACCCAUUGUUUUAAGGAGGAAUUUACACUUUACAUUCACAUCGGUGGAGGAAACCAUCUACCAUAGUCGAAAAUCUGAAGAAGGGUUAAAGAGCGCAAGAUCGAAAGUAGAUCUUCGAGCGUGCUUGAAUACAAUCGGCUCCUUGUUUUCGAAGUGGUGAACGAGAUUUCGAACUUGAUAAGUAUGUACAAAGAGCAUUAGUUUCGAAGAAAGAAAUCAAUGGAUCUCUUCCUACUUCCUAAUGGAUAACUUUCUUUCUAUUUCAUUCUUUGCCCGUUACAUUAUAUAUGUGUACCAGGAGAGAUUAUGUAAUCAAUUUUUUCUUUUUCGAUGACUAAUUAUGAUAAUUACAGUGGCUAAACAAAUAUUCAUAUAGGGAUUGGAGAUUUUAAAUUAACUAUAUCUUCUUUAAAUAAUUUAUUCACUUUAUU